rnacentral:rRNA from 1 species
CGUGUAGGCGGCGAUUUAAGUCUGGAGUGAAAGUCCUGCUUUUAAGGUGGGAAUUGCUUUGGAUACUGGAUGGCUAGAGUGCAGGAGAGGUUAGUGGAAUUCCCAGUGUAGCGGUGAAAUGCGUAGAUAUUGGGAAGAACACCAGUGGCGAAGGCGGCUUUCUGGACUGUAACUGACGCUGAGGCUCGAAAGCUAGGGUAGGCAACG